rnacentral:rRNA from 1 species
ACCUACGGGAGGCAGCAGUGGGGGAUAUUGCACAAUGGGGGAAACCCUGAUGCAGCAACGCCGCGUGAGUGAAGAAGGUCUUCGGAUUGUAAAGCUCUGUUCUUGGUGAAGAUAAUGACGGUAGCCAAGGAGAAAGCUCCGGCUAACUACGUGCCAGCAGCCGCGGUAAUACGUAGGGAGCGAGCGUUGUCCGGAUUUACUGGGUGUAAAGGGUGCGCAGGCGGCUCUGCAAGUCAGGCGUGAAAGCUAGGGGCUCAACCCCUAAACUGCGCUUGGAACUGCGUGGCUAGAGUGCAGGAGGGGCA